rnacentral:rRNA from 1 species
GACGAACGCUGGCGGCGUGCUUAACACAUGCAAGUCGAACGAAGAGCGAUGGAAGCUUGCUUCUAUCAAUCUUAGUGGCGAACGGGUGAGUAACGCGUAAUCAACCUGCCCUUCAGAGGGGGACAACAGUUGGAAACGACUGCUAAUACCGCAUACGAUCUGACCUCGGCAUCGAGGAUAGAUGAAAGGUGGCCUCUAUUUAUAAGCUAUCACUGAAGGAGGGGAUUGCGUCUGAUUAGCUAGUUGGAGGGGUAACGGCCCACCAAGGCGAUGAUCAGUAGCCGGUCUGAGAGGAUGAACGGCCACAUUGGGACUGCGACACGGCCCAGACUCCUACGGGAGGCAGCAGUGGGGAAUCUUCCGCAAUGGACGAAAGUCUGACGGAGCAACGCCGCGUGAGUGAUGACGGCCUUCGGGUUGUAAAGCUCUGUUAAUCGGGACGAAAGGCCUUCUUGCGAAUAGUUAGAAGGAUUGACGGUACCGGAAUAGAAAGCCACGGCUAACUACGUG